AAUGAACGCUGGCGGCAUGCCUAACACAUGCAAGUCGAACGAGACCAUCGGGUGUAGUGGCGCAUGGGUGUGGCGCGCGUCGGAAGCGUCACUUAUGUAUGGCAUACCUCUCCGACUGGGGUGAUAACGCCGGAUAAUGUCUUCUAACCCAAGAUAUAUCGCACUGGGAUGGGCACACGUUGGAUUAGCUUGUUGGGGGGGUAAAAGCCUACCACGGCGUCGAUGAAUAGCUGGUCAAAGAGGGUGAUCAGCCACGCUGGGAGUGAGACACGGCCCCGACUCCGACAGGAGGACACAGUCGGGAAUCCUACGCGAUGGGGGAAAGCCUGAUAUUGCAAUACCGCGUGAGUGAUGAAGGACUUAGGCUGCGAAAGCGCUGUUGUUCGGAAAGAAGAAAAGCUCUUUUACCCGGGAUGGUAAUGACGGUACCGAAAGAAUAAGCUCCGGCUAACUCCGUG
rnacentral:rRNA from 1 species